AUUGAACGCUGGCGGCAGGCUUAACACAUGCAAGUCGAACGAUGAUUAUCUAGCUUGCUAGAUAUGAUUAGUGGCGGACGGGUGAGUAACAUUUAGGAAUCUGCCUAGUAGUGGGGGAUAGCUCGGGGAAACUCGAAUUAAUACCGCAUACGACCUACGGGUGAAAGGGGGCGCAAGCUCUUGCUAUUAGAUGAGCCUAAAUCAGAUUAGCUAGUUGGUGGGGUAAAGGCCCACCAAGGCGACGAUCUGUAACUGGUCUGAGAGGAUGAUCAGUCACACCGGAACUGAGACACGGUCCGGACUCCUACGGGAGGCAGCAGUGGGGAAUAUUGGACGAUGGGGGCAACCCUGAUCCAGCCAUGCCGCGUGUGUGAAGAAGGCCUUUUGGUUGUAAAGCACUUUAAGCAGGGAGGAGAGGCUAAUGGUUAAUACCCAUUAGAUUAGACGUUACCUGCAGAAUAAGCACCGGCUAACUCUGUGCCAGCAGCCGCGGUAAUACAGAGGGUGCGAGCGUUAAUCGGAAUUACUGGGCGUAAAGCGAGUGUAGGUGGCUCAUUAAGUCACAUGUGAAAUCCCCGGGCUUAACCUGGGAACUGCAUGUGAUACUGGUGGUGCUAGAAUAUGUGAGAGGGAAGUAGAAUUCCAGGUGUAGCGGUGAAAUGCGUAGAGAUCUGGAGGAAUACCGAUGGCGAAGGCAGCUUCCUGGCAUAAUAUUGACACUGAGAUUCGAAAGCGUGGGUAGCAAACAGGAUUAGAUACCCUGGUAGUCCACGCCGUAAACGAUGUCUACUAGCCGUUGGGGUCCUUGAGACUUUAGUGGCGCAGUUAACGCGAUAAGUAGACCGCCUGGGGAGUACGGCCGCAAGGUUAAAACUCAAAUGAAUUGACGGGGGCCCGCACAAGCGGUGGAGCAUGUGGUUUAAUUCGAUGCAACGCGAAGAACCUUACCUGGUCUUGACAUAGUGAGAAUCCUGCAGAGAUGCGGGAGUGCCUUCGGGAACUCACAUACAGGUGCUGCAUGGCUGUCGUCAGCUCGUGUCGUGAGAUGUUGGGUUAAGUCCCGCAACGAGCGCAACCCUUUUCCUUAUUUGCCAGCGGGUUAAGCCGGGAACUUUAGGGAUACUGCCAGUGACAAACUGGAGGAAGGCGGGGACGACGUCAAGUCAUCAUGGCCCUUACGACCAGGGCUACACACGUGCUACAAUGGUAGGUACAGAGGGUUGCUACACAGCGAUGUGAUGCUAAUCUCAAAAAGCCUAUCGUAGUCCGGAUUGGAGUCUGCAACUCGACUCCAUGAAGUCGGAAUCGCUAGUAAUCGCGGAUCAGAAUGCCGCGGUGAAUACGUUCCCGGGCCC
rnacentral:rRNA from 1 species